UGAACGACGUACUCAGCGAUGAAGUGGACUUGACUCCCGGCCGAACUUGGGUUUCAAUGAUUCUGGGCGUUAGUGAUCUCAAGCGUGUUGUCUAUUUUACAGCCAGCCCACAAAACAAGCCAACUGAAAAGCAUCUCUACGAAGUCAGCUUGGCCGAUCUUGAAAAUUCCACUCCAAACCCUACGUGCAUCUCUUGCGACAUCGUGACACCCGAAGGAAACAAGUGCAAGUCCGUUAAUUUGGUGUCGUUUUCGAAAGAUUUUUCCCACUAUGUUCUUACAUGCUCCGGUCCAGAUGCUCCGAUAAUAAAUAUUUAUGACUUCAAACACUAAAAGAUACACGAUUGGUCUCAAAAUCAAAGGCUACGCGAAAAUCUUGCAAAACGAGCUUUACCGAUCAUCCAAAAUUUAACCAUUGACUCGCAAGGAUACGAUGUUAAAGUACAGUUGUACCUUCCACACGAUUUCGAUGAAUCUGCACAAUACCCUUUACUUCUAAACGUUUACGGUGGGCCAGAGAGUCAAAAAAUUACAGAUGAUUUUGGUGUUGGAUUUGAAAGCUAUAUGAGCACAAAUCUUCACGUAGUGUACGUGACAAUUGUUGGACGCGGUAGUAAUUCAAAAGGCACAGCAUACAUGUAUCAGGUUUAUCGAGAUCUUGGAAACCGAGAAAUAGUCGAUCAAAUUCACGUUGUCAGUGAAUUGGUGUCUGGGGCUGGGUUAUGGUGGAUACGCCACAGCAAUGAUACUUAUAAAAGAUGUAGAUAAAGUUUUUAAAUGCG